ensembl:lncRNA
GAAAUCUCCAAAUAUGUACAGUAAAAAUACUUUAUAUUCAGCAUGGUAGUAGCCUGAGAGGUCCUUAACACAGGUACAUUGGUCUUGGCUUGGAACUAUUGAUAAAUCAGUUUUUAUGGCAGUCCAAACAUGGAGAAACUGUCUUUUUCAACGUCCAAUUAUAGGGCUUUUACUUUGAAGAAAUCUCCAAAACUGUACAGUAAAAAUGUUUCAAAUUUAGCAUAGUAGUAGUCAGAGAGGUCCUUAACACACGUGCAUUGGUCUUGCUCUGGAACCUUUGAUCAAUCUGUUUUUAUUGCAUUUCAAAUAUGGAGUCAGGCUAAUUAUCAAGUCUAUAUUUGACCUAUUUACAAGUAGAAGAAAGAGAUAAAUAUAACAAGUGUUAACACCAAUCAGGAAAUUGAGUCCAUCUUGAACAAUUGUGGCAAUUUAUUGAGAGCACUGUCCAGCUGUACACAAACAUCUGGGUAAAGCACAUCCCAUCUCUGCAGCUCACUGGUCCUGAGCGCUUUGUUGGUGUGACACUUGUUUUAGUGAGUCCACCUCUUCACUCUGCAGCUACUGAUGCAUCCGGCUUCGCUGGCCUAGUAACUGGGGAUACUCUUCCUUAAAAUAAGAGUUGAAUGUUUAACAAUGGUGCAAUCGAGAAGCUGCCCUAAAAUAAGGCUCUGGGGAGGAACUAAAUUGGACGCAAUCAGUGAAUUUUAAGGAUUUAAGGCUUACUAUUUUUAAAAUAGUAACACAUCUGAAGGCAAUAAAACUGAGUAAGUUUUCUUUGAAACACAGAUUCUUGCCAACAUUAGAUCCUCUCGUCCUUUGACCUCUUCAGUUUGACCAUUCAAUUCAGGAUUGAAGUGGGACAAAUAAUCAUUAGGUUAAUUAUUACCUCUACCUCGAAGUCUGUAUUUUUUGAAUUGUCAUUAUGUAUUGCAUUGUGAUCAACAAAUAAUCCCACUUCAUUGGAGGUAUGUAUGGUUCUUAAAUGAAAUAAAUAUGUGUACAUCAAUGGUUGCAAAUUAACCAUAAACAUCAAAUGAAAUAAACAGCAUUAAAUACAUCUGUAAUAGCAGAUUAACAACUUAAACACAGUUAAAUAUAAUUAAAUCAAUGGUUUGGUAGAGAUGUGACGACGUUUACUUUGCGUCUCCUAAACUGUCUCUGCCCUGCGGUCACUGCAGUCUAUUUCAGGCUGAGGGAAAAACAUGUUCUGGUUAUUUAAAUUCAAAUCAGUUACAUAGUAUUGCAAUCUCAAGGAAGAAAUCUAUCAAUUCUGUCAAUAAAAACCACCAACUGUCAAUAUUAAUUUUUUUUCUUGCAUGGGAUACAAGCUAUUUAAAGGAACAUUAAGAUAUUACAGGAUAUGUCCAAGCUACAGAAGCUGAAUGUCGUCCUCCUUCAGCUUGAAGGCGCUUCCUCCUGCUCCAUAAAACAAGACUACAUUUAAAUUGAGUUCACGAUUACACAAAACAAGCAAAGAAAGUUCUGUUUAUUUAUUCUGUCACAUUAUUGACAUAGUGAUAUUUCUCAACUUUGGAUUCUUUGCAAAAUUAAAACACUCUUGUUAAACUAUGCACAACUUAAUCAAAAUCAUAUUUUGUUACCAUACGACACACACGUUGCAUACGACUUUAUUCAGUUUGUACCACACUCACUUUUAGCAAUUGUACUUCUCAGCGAUUAGAGCAGUGUAAGUGAAGUACACAGAGAAAGUGCAAAACAUCGGCCACAUUUGCAGUACGAUAAGCACAAUGUCUGCUCACCCUUUUUGCAAAACAAUACAGUGAUUUGGCAAAACACUAAAAGACAUGUGGGUACAUUACACACCACAUGACACCACACAAGACCAAUGCAGCAGACUGAGGAUUAUAUAGUUUAUUUUUGCCCACUCAAAUGUGUCAACAUGGCGAUUCAAAACAACAAACAACUCCCAGUUUAUAUGCAUCAGACAAACAUAACAUUGUAUCCUGUGCAGUCUGUCUGCAAUUCAGCAAUUCUGUGUUUGCACACCUGAUCGGUCUGUCAAACCCAUGUGUCAAUUAGUUAGGUAAUUUGACAAUCAGUGCUUUGCAAUUGCAAGGAAGUGACAUCUUGAUAUACCUCCGUGUGUAAUAUAUACAACUGUGUUUAGUGUUUUGCAAUAGUCAAUCGUAAAAAGCUGUAAAGUGCAUUAACACGGAGCACAAUCAGAAAAAGAACAGUACCGUAUUUUCCGCACUACAAAGGCGCUCUUAAAAGCCUUUCAUUUUCUCAAAAAAACCCGUAUACCCCGUCCACAUCCAGGGGUCCUGAUUCCGCGGUGGAAUCAUCUCCGAGUGACUCCUCUGUGGAGCUGGAGGGCUGGGUGCGUUCGUGGGAAAACCCCCAUGGUGUCCCAUCAGCGGACAUAUCCUGGCUAAAAGAGGACACAGAACGAGGCCUGUUCACCGCUGUUCAGAUAUUUAAACACAAAUCUGGUCAGUUAAAGAGGCGACGGGUGAUCAAAUCCGACCGGAUGUGGUUUUAUCCACCUGAACCGCCUCGCUAUGUGAAGGGAGCUGCGCCAACACACCUUUUUUUCCGGAGCCGUGUAUUUGUGUGGCGUCCGGUUGGAGUUUGGCGAUACUCCCUGAAGUGCCCUCGAGGGGAUGACUACGUCGGGCACGGGAGGGAUGUGCACCUCUACAAGUCUGGCUUUCACCACCGGGUACGUCACAUUUGAUGUGUCCGGCUGGUACACAUCGGUCACUGAGGUCCUGUGCUGUGGACCCUGCACAAAGGCCACCAGGAGCGGAGGAGGUGGCACAGUGGGCCGAUGGCUCGCAUGGGACCGUGCUAUUCGAUCUCAACUUAGUGAGGCUCAUCAAGCUCGGUUCCCUGCCGUCCGCACCAGCAAGUGGUCAAGAAGCUGUGUGGGGAAGGUCGCGGUUCACCAGCAUUGGGAACGAGCACUCACAGAUAGUGACCUUUGUGCUGACUUGUGAGGAGUCCACUCCGCGGCUCACGCCCAUGUGCAGUGGAGUCAUGGAGAGGUUCCGGCUGGCCAGUCAGCCUGUCCAGAAGCUCCUCUACGUGGACCGUGGGUGUUGCCGGUCUCAGGGCACAACAGGAGUGCGGCUGGACAUCUUCCACUGGAUCCACAGAUUUGACGCGGAGUCCCACUGUAAGUAUGCAGUGUUCAAGUCUGCUCUAGCUGGGGCAGUUUUGGCCCACAACCGCCCGGACCUGGAGCUGCUCAUGAAAGCCAUCAGAGCCAAGAACCCGGAGAGUCUCGGACGAGGACAUUGUCCGCUGCCACAUCUCCAGGGAUCAGCUCAAGCACCAUGUGAGGAGGGUUACACUCGGUGCUCAGGAGACCUUUCGGCUCAUCCAGCCAUCGAGGAGAUGAAAGGUCCCGUUGGGCUGGACGAGAGCGGAGUUAGCCUCUUCAAAACACCUGAUAUUAAGCGCCCCAUAAAAUAGGUUAUUACAACAUUAAUAUAGAGUAGCAUACAAAGUGAACAUAACACACUGCAUGCAUGUGUAUUUACAGAGGCUAUCGAUGAGAUGUGGGCAGGCCAGCUGGAGUGCAUCCAGGAUCCACCAGGCAUGAACAUGUAUAGGGUGGCGCGUAGCACAACUAUCAAUAAUGUGGACGUGCCCCAUUACAAAUGUCUGCGUGGAAGCAACAGCCUGGAAGGAUUCCACAAAUCGCUGCCACACAUGAUUCCAGGGCCCCAUUGUGCAGCACGGCCCUAUCAGGUUUACCUGAUGAGUGGCAUUGCUCGGUGGAAUUCGGACAGGAGUUUGGACGCCGUGUUUGGUGGCAAAGGACAGAAUCACAGGAAAUACUCUGCGCCGCUCAUUCACCGCCUCAACACCCGCUGUCAGCAGCUGUUUGGCGAGACUGGAGGAGAAUUUCCGGGCCCCCGCCAAUGUUGCUUCCAACGAGUUGCUUGGGUUGGAAUAUUUAUUCAGCCAACGCACGGGUGUAUCCGAACCCUUUUCCCUGGUGGACAUCAUCAAUGAUGGACCUGGUCCAGAGGAGGAGGUGGUUCAGCACGGGCAGCCCGAUCCAGAGGCUGACGAGGCGUACCAGAGCGACGGGGAGGCUGGUGGCAACGUGUUGGAUGCCAUCCUGCCCCACAUUAAUCUCACCAGCGACGAAACUGCAACUCUUCACCCUCCAGCCUCUGGUACAAACCAAAGACCAAGUCACAGCAUAUGCAGCGAGAGCGAACUGGUCCAAAACCGGGCUUUUUAAAGAGCCCAGCCAGCUGCGACCACUGACGAGGGGGUAGAGCGCCGGGUCGCAAUCCUACCUGGAAAACACACACACACACACACACACACACACACACACACACACACACACACACACACACACACACACACACACACACACACACACACACACACACACACGGAAUCAUUAUACGAACCCAGAACUCUGGGGACGUUACACUGAACAACUUGCUCAUUGGAACUUUUAUAUGGCAACUUGUCAACAGGUGGAUGGCUGCAGUCCAAACCCGCUUCCUGGCUUUGAAAAGCUAUAAAAGUUCUGUUCUGGUGGCAAUCAGCCCGACAGAGGACAAGCUGACGCUUUCCACUGAGCAGAGGAACGAGGUCCUUGAAUCCCGGAAUGCUGUGGAGGAGCACGACAAGCAGCCGCAGCAGUUCAACCAGCUGUACAGAAGGAUCCGAUCCUCUGCAAGGCCGGCAUUCCUCUGCCAAAGAUCAACGUCAAAACUGUGCAGGACUUCACCCGGCGUCAGGAGCGCCUCCUGAACAUGAAUCCCACAAAACAGUCCUCUACUGUAACGAAGAUCACCUCCAUUUCAUCUGCUGACCUCCCUCGAGCACUACACCAGCCGUCAGUCCUCCACCACUCUACCCUCUGAUGGAGUACGGGGCCAUCCCCAGCACAGCAGGGACUACGGUGUUGAAGGGAAGGACGGACAUGAUGAUGGCUCUCUUCCGGCCUCUACCACCACUGCAACUCCUGCAACCGCUGGCGGCUGUAAAAAAAAAAUCCUGCCACCUCCACCAUCUCCAGACCUGUACCCUCCAUGUCCAGCUCCGCAGCCGACACGGAGUGCGCUGGCCCCUCCACUCGGCCAAUAUUGCCUGCAAAUCCUCCUGCAUCACUGCCAUCUCUGUCCACAAUGCCUACUGCUUGUGAUUUAAGUUCACCAUCCUGGGCAAGAUCCACGCAGUACAAGCGAAAGAGUAUGGAACAUCCCUCUGCAGUUGGAGUCGAGGUGUCGCGGGUGCACAAACUCCCUCUCUGUACAUGAC